UUGAUAAAUACUGCUUCUAGACCAUUUUAACACAAAUUACACAAGCAUGGUCCACUCAUGUCACCAUUAGGAAAGCCUUCCUGAGAAAUGCCCUGCAGC